UACGGAAGGGAGCAGUGGGGAAUAUUGCACAAUGGGCGCAAGCCUGAUGCAGCCAUGCCGCGUGUAUGAAGAAGGCCUUCGGGUUGUAAAGUACUUUCAGUCGUGAGGAAGGUGUUAAGGUUAAUAACCUUAGCAAUUGACGUUAGCGACAGAAGAAGCACCGGCUAACUCCGUGCCAGCAGCCGCGGUAAUACGGAGGGUGCGAGCGUUAAUCGGAAUUACUGGGCGUAAAGGGCACGCAGGCGGUUAAUUAAGUUGGAUGUGAAAUCCCCGGGCUUAACCUGGGAAUGGCAUUCAAGACUGGUUAGCUAGAGUCUUGUAGAGGGGGUAGAAUUCCAUGUGUAGCGGUGAAAUGCGUAGAGAUGUGGAGGAAUACCGGUGGCGAAGGCGGCCCCUGGACAAAGACUGACGCUCAUGUGCGAAAGCGUGGGGAGCAAAC
rnacentral:rRNA from 1 species